rnacentral:rRNA from 1 species
UACGGGAGGCAGCAGUGGGGAAUUUUGGACAAUGGGGGCAACCCUGAUCCAGCCAUUCCGCGUGAGUGAAGAAGGCCUUCGGGUUGUAAAGCUCUUUCGCAAGAGAAGAAAACUUACUAUCUAAUAAAUGGUAAGUAUGACGGUAUCUUGACAAGAAGCACCGGCUAACUACGUGCCAGCAGCCGCGGUAAU